GCGGGGGUAGCUCAACCGGAUAGAGCAAUGGCCUUCUAAGCCAUAGGUUAUGAGUUCGAUUCUCAUCCCUCGCA
rnacentral:tRNA from 2 species